rnacentral:misc_RNA from 1 species
GAUGAAGAACGUAGCGAAAUGCGAUACGUAAUGUGAAUUGCAGAAUUCAGUGAAUCAUCGAAUCUUUGAACGCACAUUGCGCCUGCCAGUACUCUGGCAGGCAUGCCUGUUCGAGCGUCAUUUCAACCAUCAAGCCCUAGGCUUGCGUUGGAGCCCUGCGGCUGCCGCAGGCCCCUAAAAGCAGUGGCGGGCUCGCUAUCACACCGAGUGCAGUAGAUUACUCUUCGCUCAGGGCGUGUGGCGGGUUCCAGCCGUGAAACCCCCUACUUCUCAAGGUUGACCUCGGAUCAGGUAGGAAUACCCGCUGAACUUAAGCAUAUCAAUAAGCGGAGGA